CCAAUAGCGUAUAUUAAAGUUGUUGCAGUUAAAAAGCUCGUAGUUGAACUUCGGGGUUUACUCAUUGGUCAGGCUUAAUUGUCUGUACUGGUGAGAUGAAUCUCUACCUUCUGAGGAACUUUCAUGCCAUUCAGUUGGUGUGAUUGGAAAUCAGGACUGUUACUUUGAAAAAAUUAGAGUGUUUAAAGCAGGCUAACGUCUGAAUACAUUAGCAUGGAAUAAUGAAAUAGGACGGAUUGGUUCUAUUUCGUUGGUUUCUAGGAUCACCGUAAUGAUUAAUAGGGAUAGUUGGGGGCAUUAGUAUUCAAUUGUCAGAGGUGAAAUUCUUGGAUUUAUUGAAGACUAACUAUUGCGAAAGCAUUUGCCAAGGAUGUUUUCAUUAAUCAAGAACGAAGGUUAGGGGAUCGAAGACGAUCAGAUACCGUCGUAGUCUUAACCAUAAACUAUGCCGACUAGGGAUCGGACGAAGUUAAUUUUAUAAUGACGCGUUCGGCACCUUACG
rnacentral:rRNA from 1 species